UUGUCCUGGCCUCUGUUUUUUCUACUCCCCUCUGUUUUUUUGGCCCCUGCUGUGCUCAGUUGUAAAAAGGUAGUAUGGCAGUACACACAGCAGUCUCCUUCAGUUUAGGAGGGCUGUCUUUAGAAUAGAGCUGUCUUUUAAAGGCACAAGAGUACAGU
ensembl:scaRNA